UUUUAGUCAGGCAACGAGCAAGACCCGUGCCCACAGUUGCCAGCAUACCCUCCGGGGUGAUGGGCACACUGUGGGGACCGCCGCUGCUAAAGCGGAGGAAGGAGCGGGCUACGGUAGGUCAGUAUGCCCCGAAUCAUCCGGGCUACACGCGGGCUACAAUGGUUGGGACAAUGGGCACCUACACCGAGAGGUGAUGGUAAUCUCCUAAACCCAGCCUCAGUUCGGAUUGAGGGCUG
rnacentral:rRNA from 1 species